AGCGCGUUCUUUGGUGUUUUUCUCCGGUAAAAACAAUAACGAUUCUCCGUCUUAAAUUUUAUCGUUUAUUUACGUAUUAGGGUACCUAAGGUUUGAUUAAAAACGUUGUUUGACAUGUUUGGAAAAGUUUAUUAGUAACAUUUGGGAUUCAUUUUGUAUGUAUUUUGAUGGAGGGAAACUGGGUGGAUUAUUGACUGAAGCGCGGCAGCUAAACUGAGUUUUUAUAGAUAUAAAGAAGGACAUUAUCGAACAAAAGGACCAUUUGUGACGUAUCUGGGACCUUUUGGAGUGCCAACAGAAGAUCACCAAAGGUAAGGCAUUUUCUAAAUUGCUAUUUCUGACUUUCGUGUCGCACCUGCCUGGUUGAAAUAUGUUUUUCAUGCGUUUGUAUUCGGGGCACUGUCCUCAGAUAAUUGCAAGGUUUGCUUUCGCCGUGAAGCCUUUUUGAAAUCCGACACAGCGGCUGGAUUAACAAGAAGUUAUCCAAUAACCAAUAACCAGACCCCCCUGAACUAAACCCUGGUGUUGAGGUGUAGGGGCCAGCUACUACCGGCUAACUAAACCCUGGUGUUGAGGUGUAGGGGCUAGCUACUACCGGCUAACUAAACCCUGGUGUUGAGGCGUAGGACCCGGCUACUACCGGCUAACUAAACCCUGG
rnacentral:lncRNA from 1 species